UGGAACCUCUGCCAGCAAGAGUUGGCUCCUCCCCGAGUUGUCCCUAGCGCAAGGGCAAGUGGCUCUCGCAAACUGGCUUCAUGGAAUCAUGGUGUCUUCAACUCUUUCUAAAAAUCUGGGUGGGUGAGAGGGACGGAGGUCGAUCUCUUGGGUCCAAGCACUCCGGUCUUGGACGUGCAACUGCCAGUAGGUUUGAGCCACCGCGUCCGGGUCCAUUGAUCCGUCCCCAAACGACGUCGUCCUCAGCGAAGCAGUCGACGACGACGAUUGACCCCCUCUAGGUUGGCCAAUCACCCCGCCGAUGAUAACAUGCGCUAUGUGUACACCCAGCGGUUGAAACUCCAUGGACAGGCACUGUGACAGUGCUCUCAACGCAAAUUUUCCACAGCCUAAUAACCUCGCAUGUCACGUUUUAUUACCAUCAGGCAUAAAUUUCUUCGGCCACGGUAAGAAAUUAAACUUUGAAAAUCAAUAUGUUGAAGUAGUUGUACUUACAGAGCUCAGAGUAGCCAGCAAUGCCAUUGAGUGAAGCUGAACACCCUGUAAACAAAAUCGUCCCUUUUCCUCUUUCCACCAUUCCCGGAAGAACCUUCAAUUAAUUAAUCCCAUAUGUUUAACAUAGAUGUUAAUUUUAUUACCGAAUAAUUUUCUCA